GUUGAAUUAAUAGCCGACGCUCCAUCUAACUAUGGAUAAAUGCAUGAAGUCUGCCGAUUAUAUAUUGGAAUUUUAUAUAGAUGGCAAUUCGAGAUUUCCACCAACCAUUUGGGCAUCACCUCCUGAACCCGAGGAAAAGAGAACAACGAAUGUCCGAGUUUUUCGUGGCCUACCUGAACAAGCAGUUUUACGAUAUAGCCAUCCUAACAUAUUUGUCUUUGUCGAUGUGUUAUAGAAACUGCAGACACCAUCUUACAUAAAGAUGAGAACUCGAACUGUAAAAGCACCCGUUCGGAAAUAUGAAAAGGAGAAGAUGGACUUCCUUUUUGAACAAAAUACAAAACUUGUAAACGGUGAAUGUGCUACUGUGGACUUUGUACUACGUGUUGGCUACAAAUAUUCUGCCAGAAUUGACUUAUGAACUCA
rnacentral:lncRNA from 1 species